rnacentral:tRNA from 1 species
AAUGAAAUGCCUGAAAAAGGGUUAUUUUGAUAGAAUAAAACAUGUAAACUUAUUACUUUCAUUA